ensembl:lncRNA
AAACAAUUCAGCUUUUUUUAAUAGCAAAGUUACAGGGGGUGUGGGGGGAAAAAAUAUAUCAUAUUGUUUUCCCCAGCCUGCUAAUUCUGUCCAUCUUUUGCUCAAAAUGUAGUGAUUUCCCCACGUGUUGCAAUAGGGUGCACUUGGGGUUAAGGCUGCUCUGUUUGUUCCCACCUAGGAAAUCCAGGUUGUAAGUGUGAAGAAUAAAUGCUGCAAGGAGUUGGCCCAGCAAAGCUGUUCGGUGUGGUCUUAUUUAAUUAAAUGAAUGGGCAGGAUGCUGAGCAGCCCCUUCCGUGGCUCUGUGAGUGUAUCUUAGUCUGCACUUUAUUUCAUUUGAUAUCAGCUAUGGCACGUUGAUAAAUCACUCUGUUAACAGUUGGGACGUGUUUGGUAAAACCCUUGAAAUUAAUAAAAAUAACCAUGGGAAAACAUUCUCAUAAAAUAUGAAGCAAUAUUUGAAAAUUCCAAACUCAAAUAUGAACAUUUUCCAACAACAAAUAUGCUUUAAAAGCAUUUUUUUCCAUGAGAUGUUGCAAUUUGUAUCUUGGCAUCAAAAAAAAAAAUGUUCCAACAACUAAGAGCCAGCCAGCAUAAUCCUCACAUUACAAAUAGGAAAUGAGGUCCAGAGGCAGAUAAUUUCCCAUCGUCCAUUGGUAAGCUGGUGCUAGAAAAUCCCUCUGUUAACCCCUGGGUGAAGCCAUGCAGUAGGGAUGAGCGCUGCCCUUCAUUUUCCAUCAGAUGCUGAACGUCCUCGGUUGGUUUACAUCAGUUCCUCACUCAAUUCAUUACAUGCUCUUAUUUCACUCGAGGAGAUUUGGGAAUUCUCGCUGAUCUUGGAGGAAAUUGCUUUUCCUUUUGUUAGGAAUCGUUAGGAAUGCAAUCUAUCUCCCCUUAAUUAUGAGUGCAGGAGGAUGCAUUUGCCUUGUUAAAUAUUUAUCACUCAAAACCAAGUAGUGAGAAACAAAGUUCUGCAUCUGCCGCCUAGGAAAUGAGCCCUUGGGUUUCCAGUAUAACAAUUUAAUCCCAUAGAAUCAUAGAAUGGCUUAGGUUGGAGGGGACCUUAAAGAACACCUAGUCCCAACCCCCCUACCAUGGGCAAGGUUGCCCCCAUCAGACCAGGCUGCCCAGGAUCCCGUCCAACCUGGCCUUGAAUGCCUCCACAGAAGGGGAACCCACAACCUCUAUGAACAGCCUCACCACCCCCUGAGUAAAAUAUUCCUUCCUCACAUCUCACCUAAACCUCCCCUCUUUCAGUUUGAAGCCAUUCCCCCUUGUCCUAUCACUAUCAGACCAUGCAAAAAAAGUGAGUCAGAAUUUGCUAUAAUUUCCUAUUCUGCUCCUCAGAUCAGUUUUCCAAUUCAACGUGCAGCACAAAUUCACCAGGGAUAAUAUAAACUUUUACUGCUACUGGCUUUGGGGCUACAAAACCUGGAAUUCCAGUCUCUUGGCUAUGAGAUCAAUACCAAAACUUAAGUGGCUAACAUCCCCAUACAAGGCUAGAAUUUAUUUUCUGUGAUCAUCUAUAAAUCAACGACAAUAUAAUGUCCAUUCUGCUCAUGCCUGCCUGUAGUUUAUGGUGAAUAGCCUUCCAGGAUUUGACUAAUAUGUGAAACUAUUUCUGUCCAUCUGGUCCAGCAGGCCAGGCAGGCAUGUCAGAGGAGUGUAGCUCCUCCAAGAGCUGCCUUUGUUCGUAAUAAAUCUCCGAUUAAAACCAAACAGAUGUGGAGGGCGGAUGCUCCACGCAGACCUUCAGCCCAGGGCUGAGACAUCCAACUUGACACCGUGGAGGAUUCCCAGCAUUCUUGGACUGCUUCACAUCGAAGCCUACUGAGAAAACAUCUCCCUGCUUUCAGGCUGUUUGACCCACUGGGUCGUGAAAAUAAACACUUGAAGGAAAGUCAUUUUUCUGUUAAAUUCAUAUUUGUGAAACCUAAGGGCUCCUUUCUCUCUCUUGCUCACAGAGUGGGUAGUGCCGUUGUUUCAUUCACAUAGUAGAGGCAAGGAGAUGGUGGUCGGACCACAGGAGUCUUUGGGGCCAUUCUCUUGGUGUAAAUAUCAGAAAAUAUCUCUGGGCACAGCAUGGAUUCAGCUUUACUUCAUUGCCAGAGGAAAGCCAAGUGCUCCGUGAGGAGCCGGGUAAGGCAAUGCCCAGUGCUAUCCACCAGGUUACAUGCUAAAGGAAAAGAGCAACUUUUUCUCCAGGAUCAUAGAAUCAUAGAAUGACUUAGGUUGGAAAGGACCUUAAAGAUCAUUGAGUUCCAAUACCCCUGCCAUAGGCUGGUUGCCCCCCACCAGGUCAGGUUGCCCAGGACCACAUCCAACCUGGCCUUGGGCACCUCCAGAGAUGGAGGGGUGAUCACAGGAUGAUAACGUGGGAUGGUUAUGCCCUAACAUCUCCAUCUGCUGCACUGUUCAAGGCUGGAUGCUGCGCAUGAUACCACCCUUCAAGUGAGCACUUCAUGGACAGAGGGGACCAUCAGUUCAUCUCACCUGGCUCAGACUGGCUCAGAAGCACAAGAGAAUGGGGCCCUGCAGGUUUUCUUCUCUGUCCAUGGGUCACAUGAGCCAAGACCCAAUUGCAGAGCAUCCCGGAGCUCACGGUUGGCUCUUCAUACGCCCAUCAGCUGCAGAAGGAGUGAAGCUAUCCCUCCCGCGGCACUCAGCACCUGCACACUGCAAAUCUGAGCCCUCCCACUGCCACUGCUCCUCUGCACAGUUGGAUUUAAGUUGUUAUCUCUCAUCUGCAAACAGCUCCAGUUUGACAUAUUAUAUCCUCUGGGCGCUGGGGAGCAGCAGAGAAAUCAGCAUUACCGAAGUGAAAGUGCCCUGCUAGAUCUGCAAACAGCUCUGCAUCCGUAACCCUUGCUGCUGUCCUGAUGUGACUCACAGAUACCGAGAAUUUUUGCUAAGCUGCAAAACUGCUCAGAGCACAAAACUCCAAGUGGUUUUCCUCCUGCUGCUUCCAGGGGUAGCAGCACCUCCAGGUCUUGGUGCUUUAGCAUGGGACAGAGGACGGUUGACCAAGGUCUUCCACACCUCCAUGGGAGCUAUUUUCAGCUCUCACUGCUGGAGGACAUGCAUUUCCUGGCAUUUUUUGGAUGAAUUUUGCUCUGUUGACCUUGCCCUCACUUGCCGGACCACUCGUCUUGUUGGACUCUUUGUCCAAGUUUGAAGUCUUGACCCAUGGUCUGACCCAGUGAAAGGGAUCCCAGACACAUUCAGCCUGACGUCAACAAGCCCUUCUUCCAGGCACCCAUUCCCUUUCCAGAAGUGCCUUCCAGGCACUUCACCCUCCCCGUGUCUCCUAAGAAAGCCUCCACCACACUGCUGGUCACACCCCCAGGUCUCCUUCAUCUUCCCAUGGUGAUGCUCUGGGUGCACCUCUGCUCCCUGCUUCCAGCCUCUGAGACAACAGAGACUGGAAAACACACAAUUCAUGUGCAAAAUCUUGUAACACAGAAUCUCCCUGGGAGUGAGAGCCAUCUGAGCUAGCUUCAAUCUCUAAAUGUCACCUUAACUCCCUGAUUAGCCUGUAGGGACCAGCAGGCACCUCCAGACAGGGACUUGUCUGCCCAGCCUGGAAGGACUUGCCAGGAGAUGAAUUGCCUUUUAGAAGAGCUCCACUGCCUUCAGAGGGAACUGCUCAACAUUUCUUUUUUCAUUGGCUCCAAUUAAUCUCCCUGCAGACGCCACAGGGAAUGGGAAUCCCUGUUCUUCCUCUUAAGAUGUGGGAACACUCUGGGUGGAAACUGCAGCAGUGGCCAAAGUCACCUGGAGGAGCACGUGUUGCUGUGCUGGGUUUGCUGAUGGGCUCUUCGUCCUGAAAAUAAAAAGUCUGUGAAAAAUCCCCCCUUCUGGCAGCUGUCGCAGGAGGAGCUGCAAGACGAGGGCUCACACUGCUGGGUUUUGCUGCCUUACAUGGAACACACUGCGCAAGACAGCGAUGGGACUGAGCUUCGUACGUUUCCAAAUCAGUCUAAAUAAGUUCUGAUAGCAAAUUCAAGUGAGAUGACACUUUAACUGGAAAUAACAGCAGCAGAGAAAUCAACAGACUUCAGGCCUUGGAGUCUGUUCCUUCCCUUCCAUCAGAUCCAGCACAUCCGUCUCAAACUGAAGCAGACACUGCUUUUCUUUUUUAUCCCAGAAGACACCACAAACAGUUUCUGUUUCAAAUUACAAAGUUCUAAACGAAACCUCAUCACACUGAUGGUUGUUACUAAUUAUGCUACCCUACACAAUGCUGCAAUCAUAUGUGAAUUCAGCCCCACGUCCAGGGUGGUCAUUCAAGCUUGGGAUGCCAGGACUGCAUUGCAGAAAAUGGACCCAACAGCCCAUUGAGAAAGGAUGCACGGAGGUUUUCCAGGUGGGGAGCUGCUGCAAUGGAAGUUACUAAGGAUACAAUGCAAAGGAGCCUUCAGGCACCUGAUGUGGUGCCCAGGAUCACGUUGUGUUUAUAGAGGACUCCCUGUAUAGAGGACUCUGUGCCACACCACGUGUCUGCAGAUGCUCAGAGAAGAGCUGAGAUCCCUCCCAGGUGUCCUUAUAUCUCAGUAGGGAAAAUUAAUUUGAAAAUAACCGCCUUCUUAAUGCUCCAAAGCCUCGUUUCUUCUGCAGCUUGCACGUGCAAAGGGAAACCACCAAAGCUCUGGAGAAUCUCUCUGCUUCCAUGCAGGUAUGGUGAGGUCCCUGUGACCCCAAAUCCAUGCUCUGUGGACGGCCAGACGUCCUUAUCCCCUCCCUGGCCUCACAAUAUUGCAGGGACACAUCCCCUGCAGCACUCUGUCCUGCUGUGUGACCUCUGGGCUGGCCAAAGGGUGACUGAAGCAGGGAAGGAGAAAUGCUUUCCCCCAUCUGUGGGGUGUACUUGUAACCCCACUCCUAAGGAUCUCCCUUGCAAAUUCAUCUCUGGAACUCAGCUGCAGUUCUGCUCCUUCAAACGCUGCCAGGAAAUGCAUCCCUCGAGCACGUUGCAGUUGGUGUGCUGGGACAAGAAGGUUGCCUGGGUGAAAAGGAAGACAAGGAGGCACUUCUACAGCCUGGCUAACCACAGACACUAUGUUGGUGUGGACGGAGGAAGGGCUGGGGGCUCAGAUUGUCUUUUGAGAACUUGCCAGGGAGUUCAGGGACCCACGUGCUGUCCCUGGGGCUGGUGACAUCUCACAGAGCUUGUGCCAGGAAGAUGUGGAUCACAAUGGGACAGACAGGCAGAAACGACUGGGCGGAAUGUGUCAGAGGAUGCCCCUGCCAUCACAACCCAGCAGUGUGAACUUCCCAGACUCGUCCAUGGAGAGCAGCCCAUGAGAGCUGCCAGGGCUGGUGUGGUGGGACCAGGGCCAGGUUUCACACCUCAGAUGGCUGCAAUGUCUUCGUGGGCCCCACUGCCAGAGGAUCUGUGAGGCACUCGUUGGGAUGGGAGCAGCCUUGCUGGGAAUCUUCCCAUCUUCAUGACGGUGGCCAAAGCACUGAAGGAUCCAUCUACAAGGGAAACCCCUCCAGGAGUUCCCAGACCUGUGGCAAGGGACUCAGCAGUGGGUAAAGCAGGGGAUCGGAUGUGAAGGGAGGGCUCUGGGGGUUCAUCCCCUACAUUGGUAGCUGCCCUGAGCCCUGCCGUGGGAUGCCAACCCUCCUGCAUCUGGCCUGGAGGAGUCCCCUUAGCUGCCAGCUUAGUGUUGAGGCCACAGGGGAUCUGCUGAAAGCCCCACGCACUCUGCAUCCUGGGAUGAGUUCCUUCACCAGGGAGGAGGGAUGAAACCUCACCGUCCUCUCCACCUCCCCACACCCCAGCACUGGAGGGGGAAGGGGUGAGGAUGCCCACAUGUUUGCUAUUAAGCAGCAGCAGCAAUUCCAAGGAUGGCUCCACAAAGCCCAGGGAAGCAGAGCUGCCAGCAGCGCCGUCAGAAGUGCAUUCAGGCUUCAGCCAUCCCUGGCAGCCAAGUGUUGCUUGGCGGGGUCCAAUGGGUUCCUUGGCGUCCCUCCUUUGUGUUGGUGGUUUGAAGAAGCUGAGCAGCUCUGCAGGAAGCUGAUGUGCUGCUGGCUCCCAGCCCUCGUCAGGGGGUUGGAAACUCAGGGAUGGGCCCCUCAGGACAGAUCAUGGGGGUGCUUAUUUGCAGAAAAGGCUUUUGAUUUGAAAUAUUCACUAACGCUCACCAAGCAGGGUAAAGUCCCUCUUGUUUUGGAAGCUGAGAGCUCAAGGUUGUAUUUAUUUGCUUUUUAUGUGUUUUCAACAGAAAAAAAAAAAAAAAAAAUUGUAGGUCAGAAUGGUGUUUAGGUGGAAAAUUCCUCACGGUCUGGAAAGGUUCCCCAGUCCCACUGGAGGAUGUGGGGAAUGGAUAAAGGAAAAGGAGAGGCAAAGGUUUUAACCCAGCCAUAAGUGAGGACCUCAGUACGUGCAUAAACCAGAGCAGCUCCCUCACCAUCACCCCAGCGACUUCACAGAAAGGCAGAGAGCUUGCAGAGAGGCAGAUUGCACGUGGGCAGAGCAGAAUGGGGAGAAAAAGAGAUAUAUGGUGAAGGACAGUAUGGAGACACGUGCAUUUUGGUUCCUUUUUUGGCAAAAUAGCUGUGUACGUUCUUCCUUGUCCCCUCUGCAGGGCAGUCUUGGACCAGGAUGCCAGAGAAAGCACUCAUCCAUAGGAGCCAAAUAGAAUCCCCUCCAGCUCCGUGCAUCUCUUGGUCUGUGCUCUGCCACGAGAAAAGCUGCUGUUGUAACAGAGAAGGCGAAAGUUUAGAGAGUCACCCAAAUGCACAUGCCUUCCCCAAAUGCAGCCUUCUCCAAGCUGCAGUUGUCCUACAGCACGACAGAAUGGUCCCUUAAGGAGCAGAAAAAGCAGGAGGAAUAAUAUCAUGGGUAAAAGCAACUGCUUUUCCAAUAGCUUGUUAAAAGCAGUGGGUUCUGCUCCAUUUCCUCUCUGGUGAUGGCGUGGUGCUGGCACAGCCACCUCUGAGGUCUGGCCGCUCGCUGGCAGCCUCGCUCCAAGAAUAACCCCAAAUGGGAGUCAUUAGUAUCUUGCAAACAUGUCAGUGACAAAAAGCAGAGUAAACCGGAGGGAAAUUAGGAUGCCAUUUGGAAGGAGUAACGAGGCAUUGCGUGGGGCAUGGCAGCAUCCCAAGGGAUGUGGGGGACACCUGCGUCAUGGCAGGGCCACAUCCCCUUGAAGACAACCCAGGAAGGGUGGUGGCAAAAUCCUGAGCACCUGCAGAGCCUGGGGGCUGUGAGGAGUAGCUGGGUGGGUGAAAAGGAGAUUUCUGUUUGCCGUUAUAUGUCUUUUAUGGGUUCUCAGAACAGAUAUUAGGUAGGAAUUCUUCACUGUGAGGGUGGUGAGACACUGGAACAUGUGUUUGCACCAUCUCUGCGGUGUUCAAGGCUAGGCUGGAUGAACAACCAGGUCUAGUGGGAGAUGUCCCUGCAAACAGCAGGGGGUUGGAACUGGAGGACCUUACAGAUCCCUUCCAAGCCAAACCAUUCCAGGAUUCUAUGAUUCUUUCCAUGCCCAUCAUCCCCCUGGAGAGGGGACACGGGGCCACUGCUUGAGGCACAUGACCACACUAGGCUGCAGUGCAGCCAGAGGAAAGCCAGAGCUUUGGCUGACAAUUGCAGCCCCAGCUGGGAGCUGCUUGUCUCCUCUUCUUCCCAGUCCUCCUUCCAUGCUGGAAGGGGAAGCCCCUGCAAAGGCUCUGUCUAGACCAUUUCCUAAUGAGAGUUCCCAAAAGUGACUGAAAUUAGUUUAAAAGAAAAACAGAUAUAUAUAUAUAUUUUUUUUUUAAUGCAAAACAUUCUUUGGAAUAUGGAAAGCACAGAGCUGCUUGCUUCUGAAGGGCAGAGAAAGGUUCAGGCCCAGGGUGGUGUUUGUCUCUUCAACAUUGCUGCUGAGUGAAGUUCAGGUCCUUGUGUCCUCCCCAGCCCCUUGGCUGAGGGGGAUUAGGAGGUCUCCAGUCUUUUCUUUACUGUGGAGCAGGACCAUCACCUUCACCAGCACAGAGUGCCCAUGGAUUUGUCCAACCAAGCCUUGAUAGUGCCCUGGAAUGAAGCUGUUCCCAUCGGUCCCCAAGCAAAGGACCUCCCAAACCUCCCAACCCUGUGCCCGUUGCUCUUUGUUUCACCUUCCAACAGCACCAGGAAGAAUCGGGCUCCACCACUUAUCACUGUACUCUGCCCUUCAGUGAGCUGGAGGCUGCUGGAAGGUCCCCUCUUGGACUCCUCUUCACCAGACAAAAUGAGCUCCAGAGGUUAUCCCAGAGCAGUGGGGAGCUACCGAGCCCUCAGCAGGCCCCAGUCAUUUGCUGUCAGUCUCUUUCCUUGGAGAUGAUCUCCAUUCUCUCCAGAGGGUCCCCAUGACCUCUUCUUCUGCAGCAGAACACGACAUGGGCUGGCAUGGAUUACUCUGCCCCCAGGGACCGCAGGCAUUGUUUGCUGUUCCAGAUGUUCCCCAUGCAAACACUGUGUUCCCUCCAUUGGCAAACAGAUAUCUUUGGCUUUGUUUUCCGCUUGUCCCAUGGGAAAGUCAUGCAAAUAAGGCCUGGACCAUGCACAACAUCUUCUGUCUGUCUGUCUGCCCAAGAUGUUGGGAGAUCCCAAUGCUGCUCCUUGCAUCUCCCCAGCAGGUGUCCAUGGAAAAUCCCUGCUCUCCGAGGGCUUCUGGCCACCAGGAUUACACCUCACAUCCCAGUUUGUCUUCUCAAAGACACUUCAGUUCUGGUUUUGGCUGUGCUGUGUACUCAGGGCUGUGUGAGUUCCACGCUUGAGCUCCAGCACAGCAGGGGCACAUUAUACAUGUAUUCUGGGAUGUGAGGUUGUGAUUAAAUUACUCCAUGUCUGAGAGCACUGUAGGCUGUGGAAAGCCACAAUCUUUGCCCCAUCGGCCACAGAGCUGAUGCGAGGGUCUGCAGGUAUCUUCCUCAAUAAAGGACACCUUGGUGGAGUUUCAG